rnacentral:misc_RNA from 1 species
GCGAAAUGCGAUAAGUAGUGUGAAUUGCAGAUUUCAGUGAAUCAUCGAAUCUUUGAACGUACAUUGCGCCCUUUGGUAUUCCGAAGGGCAUGCCUGUCUGAGCGUCAAUAAAUCAAUCAAACUUUUGUUUGGUAUUGGGAGAAGUGGUCUAUGCCACUCUUCUUAAAGCUAUUGGCGACACUAUUUUCAGUUUGUAAGAUGUAGUAAGAAAUUCCUCGUCGAAGCAACUGGAGUGGUUUGUCUGCCAACUGAACCGAUUUAUUUUACUGACUUGACCUCAGAUCAGGUAGGGAUACCCCCUGAACUUAAGC